rnacentral:sRNA from 1 species
AUUCUACCCAUGUGGGGAAGGAUGAGAAGCUUCGACUAAGGUUCGAUUCGAGCGCAGCGAGAAAGCGUUGCCGCAGGCA